GUGUCAGCAGCCGCGGUAAUACGGAGGAUCCAAGCGUUGUCCGGAUUUAUUGGGUUUAAAGGGUGCGUAGGCGGAUAAUUAAGUCAGUGGUGAAAUCUUGCGGCUCAACCGUAAAAUUGCCAUUGAAACUGAUUAUCUUGAGUACAGUUGAGGUGGGCGGAAUGUAUCAUGUAGCGGUGAAAUGCUUAGAUAUGAUACAGAACACCUAUUGCGAAAGCAGCUCACUAAACUGCAACUGACGCUGAGGCACGAAAGCGUGGGGAUCAAACAGGAUUAGAAACCCCGGUAGUCC
rnacentral:rRNA from 1 species